UGGGGAAUUUUGGACAAUGGGCGAAAGCCUGAUCCAGCAAUGCCGCGUGUGUGAAGAAGGCCUUCGGGUUGUAAAGCACUUUUGUCCGGAAAGAAAUCCUUGGCUCUAAUACAGUCGGGGGAUGACGGUACCGGAAGAAUAAGCACCGGCUAACUACGUGCCAGCAGCCGCGGUAAUACGUAGGGUGCAAGCGUUAAUCGGAAUUACUGGGCGUAAAGCGUGCGCAGGCGGUUUGCUAAGACCGAUGUGAAAUCCCCGGGCUCAACCUGGGAACUGCAUUGGUGACUGGCAGGCUAGAGUAUGGCAGAGGGGGGUAGAAUUCCACGUGUAGCAGUGAAAUGCGUAGAGAUGUGGAGGAAUACCGAUGGCGAAGGCAGCCCCCUGGGCCAAUACUGACGCUCAUGCACGAAAGCGUGGGGAGCAAACAGGAUUAGAUACCCUGGUAGUUCCACGCCCUAAACGAUGUCAACUAGUUGUUGGGGAUUCAUUCCUUAGUAACGUAGCUAACGCGUGAAGUUGACCGCCUGGGGAGUACGGUCGCAAGAUUAAAAC
rnacentral:rRNA from 1 species